GAUGAACGCUGGCGGCGUGCCUAAUACAUGCGAGUCGAGCGAACAGACGAGGAGCUUGCUCCUCUGACGUUAGCGGCGGACGGGUGAGUAACACGUGGAUAACCUACCUAUAAGACUGGGAUAACUUCGGGAAACCGGAGCUAAUACCGGAUAAUAUAUUGAACCGCAUGGUUCAAUAGUGAAAGACGGUUUUGCUGUCACUUAUAGAUGGAUCCGCGCCGCAUUAGCUAGUUGGUAAGGUAACGGCUUACCAAGGCGACGAUGCGUAGCCGACCUGAGAGGGUGAUCGGCCACACUGGAACUGAGACACGGUCCAGACUCCUACGGGAGGCAGCAGUAGGGAAUCUUCCGCAAUGGGCGAAAGCCUGACGGAGCAACGCCGCGUGAGUGAUGAAGGUCUUCGGAUCGUAAAACUCUGUUAUUAGGGAAGAACAAAUGUGUAAGUAACUAUGCACGUCUGGACGGUACCUAAGCAGAAAGCCACGGCUAACUACGG
rnacentral:rRNA from 1 species